GCCUCGGUGGUGUAGUGGUCAAGACGCUCGCCUGGUAAACAGGAGGGCGUAGGUUCGAUCCCUGCCGAGGUA
rnacentral:tRNA from 1 species